rnacentral:rRNA from 1 species
GAAGCCGUGAGGUGGAGNAAACCCCAGAAAUAAAGUCCCAGUUCGGACUGCAGCCUGCAACUCGGCUGCACGAAGCCGGAAUCGCUAGUAAUCGCAGAUCAGCAUGCCGCGGUGAAUACGUUCCCGGGUCUUGUACACACCGCCCGUCACACCAUGGGAGCCGGGAAUGCCCGAAGUCAGCGGCCCAACCGAAAGGAGGGAGCUGCCGAAGGCAGGCCUGGUGACUGGGGUGAAGUCGUAACAAGGUACC